GCCCCUGUAGCUCAGUGGAUAGAACGACGGUUUUCUAAACCGUGGGCCGUUGGUUCGAAUCCAACCGGGGGCG
rnacentral:tRNA from 1 species